rnacentral:tRNA from 3 species
GACUUAAAAUCCGUCGACUUUUAAAAUCGUGAGG